rnacentral:rRNA from 1 species
GAUGAACGCUGGCGGCGUGCCUAAUACAUGCAAGUCGAGCGAACAGACGAGGAGCUUGCUCCUCUGACGUUAGCGGCGGACGGGUGAGUAACACGUGGAUAACCUACCUAUAAGACUGGGAUAACUUCGGGAAACCGGAGCUAAUACCGGAUAAUAUAUUGAACCGCAUGGUUCAAUAGUGAAAGACGGGUUUGCUGUCACUUAUAGAUGGAUCCGCGCCGCAUUAGCUAGUUGGUAAGGUAACGGCUUAACAAGGCAACGAUGCGUAGCCGACCUGAGAGGGUGAUCGGCCACCCUGGAACUGAGACACGGUCCAGACUCCUACGGGAGGCAGCAGUAGGGAAUCUUCCGCAAUGGGCGAAAGCCUGACGGAGCAACGCAGCGUGAGUGAUGAAGGUCUUCGGAUCGUAAAACUCUGUUAUUAGGGAAGAACAAAUGUGUAAGUAACUAUGCACGUCUUGACGGUACCUAAUCAGAAAGCCACGGCUAACUACGUG